GGGGCGCCGGCCGCCGCUGCUCACCAGCCGAGAGGAGAGAAAGGACAGAGCUGGCGGAGCGGAGUACAAGGGACUCCGAACCCUUAAUGGGAGCGCUGAGGGUGACGGACGAGGAGCAAGUCUUGUCCUCCAGCAGCGGCCUGGGUGUAAGGAGCUCCCCAGAACUGCACCCACCUCAGUGCACCGCCUUCAGAGAAUGAGGAGAAGCUUGGGAAACUUGUGGAGCCCUCAAAAGUACGACCUCCUUGGACCUGGUGGCCCCACUUUAGAGGGUAGGAGAGCCAUAACCCCGAAGGCAGAUUGGAGAGCACAUGGUGAAAUGAUAAAAGCGUCCGAUUCCCAUUCAGAAGACCUGGAUUCAAGGCCAGUUCUGCCAAACAAUUCCUGCACAACCCUCAGAUCUUGCUUUCUUGUCCAGGCUAGGGGGCAGUGGCAUGAUGGCAGCUUGUCACACUUCAAACUUCUGGGCUCAAACGAUCCUCUCGCCUGGGCCUCCUAAAGUGCUGAGAUCACAAGAGUGAGCCACCACACCUUGCCAAGAGAAGGAGGCACUUUCAUGAUUAUUAUCCUGGGACCACAGGUGGAAACCAGGCCUGCCGACGUGGUCUGGACAUGUGGUCACCCUGCUUGUGCUAUACAUCUGCUUUUGUGUCCCCACUAGGAAGCCGUUCUAUUUGGUUCAAUUUGUGUGUAUUUUGCUUUUAUAUAUUCUUAUAAAAUUUGUGUUUCUGUC